rnacentral:lncRNA from 1 species
ACCAAUCUUGUCAUAUUGGACUCCAAAUACCCUACACAAGCUUAUUAUGGCUUACCCAAGUUUUGUUAGUGAAGACGAAGUCCCUAUGAGUUUUUUUGUUUUAUAUCUACUCUACUUUAGCAGCUAGGAUACGGGUUGCAUUUCACUUUCUUAUACUCAGUCAUACACACCAAUCUUGUCAUAUUGGACUCCAAAAACCAUACACAAGCUUAUUAUGGCUUUCCCAAGUGUUGUAAGUGAAGACGAAGUCCCUAUGAGUUUUUUUUUGUUUUAUAUCUACUCUACUUUAGCAGCCAGGAUACGGGUUGCAUUUCACUUUCUUAUGCUCAGUCAUACACACCAAUCUUGUCAUAUUGGACUCCAAAUACCCUACACAAGCUUAUUAUGGCUUACCCAAAUUUUGUAAGUGAAGACGAAGUCCCUAUGAGUUUUUUUGUUUUAUAUCCACUCUACUUUAGCAGCCAGGAUCCGAGUUGCAUUUCACUUUCUUAUACUCAGUCAUAC